AUUGAACGCUGGCGGCAUGCCUUACACAUGCAAGUCGAACGGCAGCACGGGAGCAAUCCUGGUGGCGAGUGGCGAACGGGUGAGUAAUAUAUCGGAACGUGCCCAGUAGUGGGGGGAUAGCCCGGCGAAAGCCGGAUUAAUACCGCAUACGACCUGUGGGUGAAAGCGGGGGAUCGCAAGACCUCGCGCUAUUGGAGCGGCCGAUAUCAGAUUAGCUUGUUGGUGGGGUAAAAGCCCACCAAGGCGACGAUCUGUAGCUGGUCUGAGAGGACGACCAGCCACACUGGGACUGAGACACGGCCCAGACUCCUACGGGAGCAGCAGUAGGGAAUAUUGCACAAUGGAGGAAACUCUGAUGCAGCGACGCCGCGUGAGUGAUGAAGGCCUUCGGGUCGUAAAGCUCUGUCGUAUGGGAAUAAUAAAGUGAAUGUACCAUGCAAGAAGGAUCGGGCUAAACUUCGUGCCAGCAGCCGCGGUAAU
rnacentral:rRNA from 1 species